UCGGGAAUUUUCGGCAAUGGGGGAAACCCUGACCGAGAAACGCCGCGUGAGGGAAGAAGGUCCUCGGAUCGUAAACCUUUGUCUUCAGGGACGAUAAUGACGGUACCUGAGGAGGAAGCCACGGCUAACUACGUGCCAGUAGCCGCGGUAAUACGUAGGUGGCAAGCGUUGUCCGGAAUUACUGGGCGUAAAGGGCGUGUAGGCGGUUUUUUAAGUUAGGCGUGAAAAUCCAGGGCUUAACCCUGGACCUGCGUUUGAAACUGGAAGACUUGAGGGCGGGAGAGGAAAGCGGAACUCCGUGUGUAGCGGUGAAAUGUGUAGAUAUACGGAAGAACACCAGUGGCGAAGGCGGCUUUCUGGACCGAUCCUGACGCUGAGGCGCGAAAGCUAGGGGAGCGAACGGG
rnacentral:rRNA from 2 species